CUGUGCUUCUGACAACUGUCCACCACAUCCCAGCUCAACAUCUGCUGAUACCUUGGGUCCUGAGACUGCAGAAGAGAAUUCCUUUACUCAAAUGCAAGACGAAGGAGGCUCACAUGACUUGGGCUAAGGAUCUGUACAAGGCUCAAGAAGCUCAGAUGGCUACAGGACUCCCAAGGACCUUCCCCAACAGAAGCAGUGAAACUGGUGCUGCAGAGAGGAAAUUCAUGACGGCCUGCACAGCGUGCAGGACAUCCAGGGACGCAGCUCUCAGGAGAACUCGCUCAUGCUUGGGUGGGCUUUUGCAUGAAACAGCUGGCUGUCUUUGAGUUGCCUGUGUUCCUGUACGUAAUCCCAAUAAACUCAUUGGCUCACCAA